rnacentral:rRNA from 1 species
GUGGACGCCAGUCUGCGUGGAGCCGACCUUGAAAUACCACCCUUUAAUGUUUGAUGUUCUAACGUGGACCCGUGAUCCGGGUUGCGGACAGUGUCUGGUGGGUAGUUUGACUGGGGCGGUCUCCUCCUAAAGAGUAACGGAGGAGCACGAAGGUUGGCUAAUCCUGGUCGGACAUCAGGAGGUUAGUGCAAUGGCAUAAGCCAGCUUGACUGCGAGCGUGACGGCGCGAGCAGGUGCGAAAGCAGGUCAUAGUGAUCCGGUGGUUCUGAAUGGAAGGGCCAUCGCUCAACGGAUAAAAGGUACUCCGGGGAUAACAGGCUGAUACCGCCCAAGAGUUCAUAUCGACGGCGGUGUUUGGCACCUCGAUGUCGGCUCAUCACAUCCUGGGGCUGAAGUAGGUCCCAAGGGUAUGGCUGUUCGCCAUUUAAAGUGGUACGCGAGCUGGGUUUAGAACGUCGUGAGACAGUUCGGUCCCUAUCUGCCGUGGGCGCUGGAGAACUGAGGGGGGCUGCUCCUAGUACGAGAGGACCGGAGUGGACGCAUCACUGGUGUUCGGGUUGUCAUGCCAAUGGCACUGCCCGGUAGCUAAAUGCGGAAGAGAUAAGUGCUGAAAGCAUCUAAGCACGAAACUUGCCCCGAGAUGAGUUCUCCCUGAGACUUAAAGUCUCCUGAAGGAACGUUGAAGACGACGACGUUGAUAGGCCGGGUGUGUAAGCGCAGCGAUGCGUUGAGCUAACCGGUACUAAUGAACCGUGAGGCUUAACCCU